rnacentral:rRNA from 1 species
UACGUAGGGGGGCUAGCGUUGUCCGGAAUCAUUGGGCGUAAAGCGCGCGUAGGCGGCCCGGUAAGUCCGUUGUAAAAGUCAAAGGCUCAACCUUUGAAAGCCGAUGGAUACUGCCGGGCUAGAGUCCGGAAGAGGCGAGUGGAAUUCCUGGUGUAGCGGUGAAAUGCGCAGAUAUCAGGAAGAACACCCCGUGGCGAAGGCGGCUCUCUGGGACGGUACUGACGCUGAGACGCGAAAAGCGUGGG